GAGACAAGGUUUCUUAGACAUGGCCAUGGCCCUAAUAGAAGAUGCCGAUGCCCCAGGCAGUUCCUCCAGUGACCGUGAAAAGUCCCCUGGGGCACAAGUCUAAUUUGGCACCCCUACCUUUCUCCUGCAGCUUUUCUGUCUACUUAGCUAACCAGCAGCAAGUUUAUCCUUGCAAGCGUUUGGGGUCAAGAACGACUUUCACCAGGAAGAAGUGCAAGACGAGUGAUUGAAGAAAAUAAAGGUGCUUCUGUGAUCUAAGAA
rnacentral:lncRNA from 1 species